rnacentral:lncRNA from 1 species
UGCAGGAGAUACUGUGCAGCAACACAUAGGAGGGAACAGGCAGCUGUCUCGGCCAGUUCCACAGGAGGACUAAGAUGGUGACUCAGCUGGUCUCCUGGGCAUCUGGAGAGAGACGGGGUGACAGCCUUGGGCAUCUUAAUUACCAAGCUCAGGAAGCAAGAGGCUCACUAAGCAUCAUGGGAAACUCCCGGAUCCAGCUGAGAAGGGGGAAGUGCACUAUCCAGGGUAAGAGGAUUUGAUGAAAGAAGCCAGAGUCUGUUGCAUUUGCCCUGAAGAAUGACUGAACUUCAACUGGGUCAAAAGACCCCUCUCCCUGGGCCCUCUGCUCAUCCAGUUUGGCAAGACUCAAAACCCCUGUAUACUCUAGGACCUUCUACUCAAAGAGUGGGUCUGGGACCAGCAGGAGCAGCGCCUGGGAGCCUCCCAGAAGUGCAGAAUCAUAGGCCCCAGCCCAGACCUGCAGCAUCAGAUCCUGCAUUUUAGCCAGUCGCCCGGGAACCGUGUGCACAGUGAAGCUUGACAAGCGCUGGCUCAAGCUCCAUGUGGCAGGCCCUUGUCCCUCUUGUGUUCAUCUGUGUUUCUAGGACCUCAGACAUUCUCCUUCGUGGACUGGACAAGGGCUCAGCUGUGCAAGGAGGUCAGGAUGGGAAUGGAGGCCAGACCACACGUGCACGAGACACCCAGGCAACAUGCAAGAGCUCCAGGGAUGGAAUUUGGACACCCUCUCCUGAGACAAGCCGAGGUCGCGGGAUCUGGACAUUUGACCUUCGUCCUUGGCUGGGACGCAGGGCGUCGCUGCCUCUGC